UUAAAAAGAAAAAGAACACCAGUCGGCGGUGGCGUUGUAAACAUACUUAGUUUUUAUACGGAUGAUUAUCUCUCUUAAAACAUAAGAAAGCGCUGGCUUUUUGAGGACAUUAACCUCGGGAAAACGCCUGAUACGGAAGAAAAUAAACCCGGAUAUUUUCAUGAAUAUGUUUGACCUGAAGUGUGACAGCUCGUCAGUUGAGGAGGGAGAAGAAAUGGAUGGAGGAAAUCCCACUUUAGCAGCGCAAAUAUCCAGGUGUGCAAACAUCUCGUCGGCAGAUUUAGACGAGCUGGAGAACAGCCGAAACGAAUCGAAUACUGUCAGACAAACUGUGUGGGCGGUGAACUGUUUUAAAACGUGGAUAUGUGAGAAACAGAUCAACAUCGAUUUUAAAACCGUCGAAAAAUCAGACCUGGCCCAAGUGUUGCGGGAAUUUUAUGGAUCCAUUCGGACAAGUAAAGGAGAACUGUACGGUAUCAACAGCUAUCUCGGGCUCCGGGCUGCAUUGAAUCGUUUUUUUAACGACCCUCCUCUUCACCGUGGCUGGAAUUUGAUGCAGGACGCUGAAUUCAGACCCGCCAAUAAUGUUUUCAAAGGUAUCGUUAAACACAUCCGACGAUCGGGUCGGGAUGUGACGACACACCCCCCGAUCUCACCCGAAGACCUGGAUAUAUUAAAACACUCUUCUGCACUAGACCCUGGCAACCCCAGAGGUUUAUUAAAUAAGGUCUGGUUUGACAUCCAGUUACAUUUUGGAUUCUGGGGAAAAGAGGGCAAUCGACACCUGCGGCCAGACUUGUUUACACUUAAACGUGACCUAAAUGGUUUAAAAUAUUUCACUAUGGUAUUACAGGAUGUGUUUCGUGAAUCAAAGAACCCAAUUAAACGGGACAAGGACAAGAAGGGGGCCGCUAUGUAUGAAGAGCCUGGCAACCCACUCUGUCCCGUCGCCUCUUUGGAGAAAUAUUUAAGCAAAAUCCCCCCGGACGCAAAGGCGCUCUACCUGCAGCCCAAAAGAACGCAUGUGUUCAACGAUGAGUUCUGGUAUACAGCUCUACCUUUGGGAUUUAAUUAUCUGUCUCAAAUGCUGCCCAUAAUAUGCAUAGAGGCCGGGACGCAGACCACAUACACUAACCACAGUCUGAGGCUCACUGCGCUUCAAAAACUGACUGAAUCCAGACAGAUCAUGACUGUGUGUGUGCACAGUGUCCAUAUUGAGACGAACCCUCAGAUGCAGCAGGAAUCUGCUCCAUAUUCAGCCAGCAGUGAGAUUGACUCCAGCUCUGUGACACAGGAGAGUCUCGUGAGCAGCCACGGCUGGUUAAAACAAGAACCAGAAAAUGAAAUAAUUGAGUGGGAAAAUAUUAACUCGUAGGCCGCCGUUGAUGCUGAGCAGGACAACACAAGCAAUGCCAUCUCCACAGCAACGACCCCGAUGGAGGAUUUACCCCCCAGUGUGAUGCUGACCAUCACCAAACUUCAGUGUCUUGUGGAGAGCAAACAGCAGAAGAUUGAAGCACUGGAGAAACAAGUGCAGGACCUACAGGAGGAUCGCAAGUUCCUCCGCACACAGAUCGAGAACCUCACCAGCGCUCGUGUGGUUCAAGUACCAGAAGCGAGCACUUCAGUGUUUUUACGGCCCAGGUCACAUAAGAGACGGCAGAACAGCACGUCUAACCCAUGUGACAGUGAUGAGAGCUUUACCGAUGGGUCUGAUACUAGUGAUUCAUCUGAGGAGUUGAGCAACAUCAAGAAAAAACGACACAACAAGAAGAAACGGAAGAGAGGUUAUGUGCAGUGUGAGUAAGUACAGACUCCAACAAGAAGAACCUGAGUGGAGUUUGUAGGUGGGACAACGUUCCUGGUUGUUCCUCAUUGAUGGCUAAAUUGUUUGCGCCAUGAACAGCAUUAUGCAGAACACCAUCGUCAACCAGGCCCUCAUCACAGAAUUGAGUGUUCCUCUGGUGAGUCUGUGAGGAAGUGUUGGUCAGCUGUAUGCCCUCACAAGUGACACAGAUGAUGGCUUCUGCCUUUAACUGCUGAGAAAGCAAGAACAUGUCCAUGUGUGGACAUUAGAGGGCGCUCUGAUACCAUUGCUGACUGAAAAUGAUGGUGGGCAGGGCUGUUGUGUGCAUGUCACGCCAUGGAAGUAUAGCAAGAAAUGAGUGAAACAUGCUUGUUAUACAUAUGAUAAUGUAUUUAGUUAUAACUUUACUUCCAUAACAUUGAGAGACUGCAUUCACUGAUGAAUUAUAUGUUGAAGGUGCCGUCAUAUUGGACAGAGCAAGACUGACCUAUAAACAAACAACUGAAGAGGUGGGUGUAGUUUUUUGGAUAGAAAGAACAACGGUUGUAUUUCUCAACUAAUUGCUAUAGUUUAUGAGUACAAAUGAUCUACAUGUUUUUGUAUCAAUUUUUUUAUAUUUGUUAAUGGCCAUUCUUGUCAACUUGGAAAUCAGUUGAGAAACGUAAAGUUGUACUUGUGUCUAAAGUGGUCUUGCCCUGUUCAAUAUGGUGGUGCUUUCAGUUUGAGUAAUAAAUGUACAGAUCUGUUUGAAAUUUAUAUUUAGUUGCACAGAUGGUAACAGAACUGAAGAAGUAAAGUUUAGGCAUAUAUGCUGAGAUAGUUUGGACAGGAUUUCUGACUUUCAUUUUUCUUUUUUGAAUCACUACAAAAGAUGUGUGGAAUCACAUAUAAUGACAUUACAUGUUUUGUUAAUACAUAUAUUACAUAUAUUUUAGUGAUAUAGUUCAUGUUCUUUUAUCAGUUUCAGUUCGUUUAAAUGCACAAAUAUACCAAGUCCUCCCAGAGUUUAUAAAUUGUUUUGGUAUAUACAGUAUAAGUGCUUUUAUUUUCAGGGAAAUGCUUUAUUUUCUAUUUGAUGGGGACUUUAACUAGUUACCCAUCACAAUCUACACAGCUAUGGUAUUAACGACUAGAUGGGUUGUGAUUUAAAUAGAAAUAUGCAUUCUGACUGACCAUUUCCAUUUUUUCCCAAUGUUAUCAACAAUACUUUACGCAUUUGUCUUAUAUGUUUCAAGAUUGAUUGAUUAAAUCUUCUGUCCACAGUGUAAAAUGUUUGCUGUUUUUAAAGCAAUACGUGUUGCAGCUGUUUUAUGUAACGUUAGACUAGUCACUGAAGCGCCCAACAACCCUCCCCUCCUACCAACGUUUUAUUCACGUGACAAUACGUCACUGGAAAUGACGUCACAUGGGAAGCUUGAAACACUGGUUGCAGUGUAUGUGGGUUCGUUGAUCUUUAAAUAUCAGAUAAUUUGUCAUUUAUAUGAUAUGACGAGACAGUUAUAGUUACCCCGAAAAUGCGUGUUUACACCACCCGAGUAUUGCCACAAUGAUAUACCUACUUGGACGGAUUAAAUGAAACAUGCGCACAUUGUGCUUACUGUUACCGCGAAAACGUAAAUAAAACCAACGUGCAGGAGAAAUAUGGCGGAAAAUGAUACAACUCUUUAUCCCCCUUCUCUAAGGGUAAAAUCCGAGGUAUGGAAAUAUUUUGGAUAUCGUAAAAAUGCAGAUGGAUCGAUAUGCGACAACGGUUUCCCUGUUUGUAAAAAAUGUGGCAGACAAAUAGCCGCACAAGGGCGGAACACGUCCAACAUGUUUUCCCAUCUGCGCAGUAAUCACCCGAUCCAAUUCAGAGAAAUAAGGGUAAGCGUUUAAAACUUUAUUUUAAGUUGGUGUUGGGAGAUCAUUCACAUUGAGGCAAAAUGUUACCUAAAAAAGACAUUCAUGUACUUGUUUCCAUUAUUGUGCCUUUUUGCACAGUGUGGAUCAGCCACAGCACCACUGAAAGGUGAAGUGAGUAACAGUAUAAUCAAUGAGUAUAUUAGCAGCAAAUAAGCAGUCUACAGUGGGAAAAUGAGCAUUAGAACUGAACCAUGGACCGAUGCAAGAAGGAUGCCUGGUCUGAUGAGCCAUUUGACAUUGUCUUGUUUCGGUAAUAUGGACAUUGUAUAAGUCUCCCAUGUUAAAUUGCUCAUUUCAGAAUAAAUAUUAGCUGUUAAAAGUGACAGUCACCAGAGAGUUUACGUAUAUGUUACCGUUACAUAAAGAUUUUUUUUUUUUUUUUAGAUUUAGAUUCAAUUUAUUGUCAUUGCACAUGUACAAGGCAACGAAAUGUGACCUCUGCAUUUAACCCAUCCAGAGAGUAGUGAACACACGUACCCCCGGAGCAGUGGGCAGCUAUCACUGCAGCGCCUGGGGAGCAAGUAGGGGUAAGGUGCCUUGCUCAAGGGCACCUCAGUUGUUACCCGCCGGCCCUGGGAAUCGAACCGGCAACCUUCUGGUCAUGAGUCCGACUCUCUAACCAUUAGGCCACAACUGCCCCUAAAGCAUGAAGGAUAGGGAUAAAUAUGGGCUCAUCGUGAUGGUGAGAAAUCUGCGAAUGCCUCGACGUAUCAGAGUUGUUUUGGCAGCAUGAGGGGCACCUAAAUGAUAUUAGGCUGAUGGUUUUAAAGGGGUCAUAUGACAUCUAAAACGAACAUUAUCGUAUGUUUUAGAUGUAAUGCAAUGUGUAUACACGGUUUAAAGUUAAAAAACGCUGUGUUUUCCACAUACCGUGCAUGUUUGUAUCUCCUCUUUGCCCCGCCUCUCUGAAACGGGCUGAUUUUUUACAAAGCUCUCGCUCUGAAAAGCGAGGUGAGCUAUGAUUGGCCAGUUAACCAGUGCGUAGUGAUUGGUCGAAUACUGCAAGCGUGUGACGGAAAUGUAACGCCUCUUACCAUAUUUGGAACAGCAGGUUCCAAAGCAAUUGUACUGACAGGUACGCCCACCUUACUUGCCUACACAUUUGGGUGGUCUUAGUCAAAUAAUUCCAUGAACUGACGUAGAUUUGUGGGGGUGUGGUUACACAAGGCGUUUCAGGCAGGUCUGGGGGGAAUUCGCUUUUAGAUAGAAUGCAUCUUUUGUUCCUAUACUUUAAUUUUUGCAAUUUUACGUGUCUAAUACAUGCAUGGGCAACUUAUAACACACCAAAGUAGGGCUGCAACGACGCGUCGUAUUGUUUACGUUUGUCUGCUGUAAUGGCAGUUUCUGUUCCCGGGCGUAUGUAUAAGCAGAACAAGAGAAAGUAUAAUACGAGAGCCUUGGACGCAGUAAGUUAGUGAAUGGACGGAGGAAUUCCCCCUAACGUUACCCCCUGAAUGCCAUCAUCACAGCAUGGACAAGCGGACGGAGAGGGGCACGUAGAUGUAGACUUUCAUAAUAAAUUACUUUAUUUUAACACUACGCUUUACAUUAAUGAUUUACAUUAACACUAUUGUAUUAGUGUAAGUUAGUGUAUGUGAACCUUUGCAGAUUGUGACCCUGCUUAAAUUACUAUUAAGCUUCAAAAAGGAACUAUCUAUCAUGAAACCACCAAAAAAGUUUUCAUGCACUUUUUAUGUCAUUCAAUAGCUUUAUGCGAGGAAUAAACCAAUAUAGCACAAUUAAGAAACUCUGACCUCCGCUGGUGCUGUAUGUCAAUCUCCAGUCAGCAUGAGUGUGUACGGUGACGGUCAGGGCGCUACUCUUUCCAAGAUGUUUCAAUGUUUUUAUAUUCAUCAUAAUGACAUGUCUGUGGUUUUGUUUAAAAGUAUUUUGCUAGAGACUGUGAGGUACUCGCUGAGUGUAGCUUAGCUUAUUGAAGUGGUCUGAAUAUUUUGCGUCUUCAUACGAAAUAACUCUUUUUAAACCUCUGAUUUAACUGUAAACUGUGUAACAUAUCAUUUCUUCUGUUCUAACUAUUAUUUACUUUGGGGAGCAAAAUGAUCCCCGGGACUUCAGAAGGAGUAGGUGCUUUAAGCACAUCCGGGAUGCGCAUAACUGUAAAUAGUGAAGCGAAUGCAUUAUGCGCAUCAUUCUGAGUUAAGGGUGCGCAGGCUCGGUUUAACGCCACUCUGCAUUAGAGUCUUUUAUACAGUGAUAGUUUUGUACAAUAAACAGACAGAUAGUAGUAUUUUACUUUUUCUCAAUUACAUUAUGAGACUGAAAAUAAAACUACUUAAUUAAAAGAAGAUAGUGAUUUUAAUGUAAACACGGAUUAAAAUGUUAAAACAACAAUAUUUAUUUUAUAAAAUGUAGUGGAGUAAAAAGUAUGAUAUGCUUUAUAAUGUAAGAAAAUACUAGAACUUAUUGUUUAUUUGCAAAGUUUGCCAAUGGAUUAAUAAGGUAAUCCAAAAAAAUCUUUAUUAGAUAAAAAAAUCGCUAGAUUAGUCGACUAAUUGAAAUAAAUAAAUAAAUAAAUAAAUAAUAAUCGUUAGAUUAGUCGACAAUUAAAAUAAUCGUUAGUUUCAGCCAUAAAACAAAGACACAGAAAAACACGUAUUCGCGCCAUAUGACCCCUUUAAUGUUGUGGUUGUGACUGGUCACCAUAGUCUAGUCUGCAAGUUUCACUUUUGUGCUGUUACUGGUUGCAAUGUUUGUUAUAUAACAUGGAUAUUAUGGUUGUGCUUCUCCCUCUAGAAAAUUUCAAAUAAGUUCAGAUCAGCUCUGUACAGAGCAAGAGUCACAAAAGCCAGGUAUCUUGCCGAAAGAAAAGACAGGUAAUAGUUUCAUAGAGGACCUUGUGUUCUUCACUAUGUACUUUGCAAAAAAAUGUUUAUCUUAAUUUGUUUAUUCUGUUUACAAAUGUUGCAAUAAUAACGGAUCAUUUAAAAACAAUUUCAUUAAAAAAACUGACAAGAUUGUUGAAAUGUUGUUAAAAUAAUACAUGAUCAUAUGUGAUAUUGUCCUCCAGCAGUGAUGAUGUUGAGAUGAAGCAGGAAUCUGCUCCAGUGUACUCCAGCAGUGAGAAUAACUUCAGCUCUGUGACACACGACAGUCCUGAGAGAAACCACAGCUGGAUGAAGCAAGAGCCAAAGAAUGAAAUAAUCGAGUGGGAGAAUAUCAACUCGGAGGUCCCCGCUGCUGCUGAACGGGACGUAUUGAGCAGUGCCAUCUCCACGACGACUCCAGCGGAGGGUUUACCCACAUGUGAUAUGCUGGCUUUUACCAAAAUGAAGUGUCUGCUGGAGAAUAAACAAGAGAAGAUUGAAGCACUGGAAAAACAGGUGCAGGACCUACAGGAGGAUCGCAAGUUCCUGCGCACACAGAUCGAGAACCUCACCAGCACUCUCUCUGCUUUUGUACGUGAGGGUGUGACAAGAAGAUUUCAAGAAAAUUGAACUGACAAGAAAAAACUAAUGAUUUGGUUUCUGUCUAUUUUUUUAUUUGUACACGUCAUACCCAAAUAAUACACCCAAAUCUGAAAAAUUACUGACUGAAAGCUGUGAUCAUGUGCACUUUCACUUUAUUCAGCUACGUCUAGCUGUAUGCCCUCACCAAUGAGACAGAUGAUGCUUGGACAAUAAAGUGCACUCUGAUACAGUAGCAGACUGCACACACACGAGGGGACUGUUGUGUACAUGUAGGGACCUAUAGAAGACAUAUACUGUAGAAAGUAAUGAUAUAUAAAAUAUGCUUGUUAUAACACUGGUUUCUACUAAUACUGAUAUAAUACUGUUUUGAUUUGCUGUGCAUACUUUUUUAUCCAAAUUUUGUGUAAUAAAUAGUACACACAAA